UAUACGAAGAGUUUGAUCCUGGCUCAGGAUGAACGCUGGCGGUGUGUCUAAUACAUGCAAGUCGAGCGCGUCUUUAAGACGAGCGGCGAACGGCUGAGGAACACGUUGGUAACUGCCUCGCACUCAGGGAUAGCCCACUGAAAAGUGGAUUAAUACCGGAUGGUCCCGCAAGGGUAAAGAUUUAUCGGUGCGAGAGGUGCCUGCGUCCUAUCAGGUAGUUGGUGAGGUAAUGGCUCACCAAGCCUAUGACGGGUAGCUGGUCUGAGAGGAUGACCAGCCAGAAUGGGACUGAGACACGGCCCAUACUCCUACGGGAGGCAGCAGUAGGGAAUAUUCCGCAAUGGACGAAAGUCUGACGGAGCGACACCGCGUGGUUGAUGAAGCCCUUAGGGGUGUAAAGACCUUUUCUGGGGGAAGAAUUCUGACGGUACCCCAGGAAUAAGGACCGGCUAACUACGUGCCAGCAGCCGCGGUAAUACGUAGGGUCCAAGCGUUAUCCGGAAUCAUUGGGCGUAAAGCGUCCGCAGGCUGUGUAUUAAGUUGGAUGUUAAAUCCUGGGGCUCAACUCCAGGCCUGUAUCCAAAACUGGUAUACUAGAGUCUUUCAGAGGUAUGUGGAAUUCUGUGUGUAGGGGUAAAAUCCGUUGAUAUACAGAGGAACACCAAAAGCGAAGGCAGCAUACUGGGAAAGUACUGACGCUCAUGGACGAAAGCGUAGGUAGCGAAGAGGAUUAGAUACCCUCGUAGUCUACGCCGUAAACGAUGGAUACUCGGUGUUGGAGUGCUUGACGCUUCAGUGCCUAAGCUAACGCAUUAAGUAUCCCGCCUGGGGAGUACGGUCGCAAGAUUAAAACUCAAAGGAAUAGACGGGGGCCCACACAAGCGGUGGAUCAUGGGGUUUAAUUCGAUAAUAAGCGAGGAACCUUACCUAGACUUGACAUAAUUGAGAAUUCUUUGGAAACAGGGAAGUGCCUUUUGGAACUCUUUUACAGGUGCUGCAUGGUUGUCGUCAGCUCGUGCCUUGAGGUGUUCGGUUAAGUCCGUAAACGAGCGCAACCCAUGUCAUUAGUUGUAUAUUUCUAAUGAGACUGCCGGUCACAAACCGGAGGAAGGUAUGGAUGACGUCAAAUCAGCAUGGCCCUUAUGUCUAGGGCGACACCCGUGAUACAAUGGCCGGUACAGAGGGUAGCAAUAUCGUAAGAUGGAGCCAAUCCUUAAAACCGGUCUCAGUUCGGAUUGAAGGCUGCAACUCGCCUUCAUGAAGCUGGAAUCACUAGUAAUCGUUGAUCAGCCACGCAACGGUGAAUGCGUUCUCGGAUCUUGUACUCACAAUAAAAGCGCCGGGCAGUUUAUCAAUCUAAGGAGUUCAAAUCUCCUCCUCCGUUUCCCAAACGGAGCGUAGUUUAAAGGUAGUCGCGUAUCGCGAGGUACGCGGUGAAGGACCUGGAAA
rnacentral:rRNA from 1 species